CACGUAGGGUGCGAGCGUUGUCCGGAAUUAUUGGGCGUAAAGAGCUCGUAGGCGGUGUGUCGCGUCGGCCGUGAAAACCUGCAGCUUAACUGUGGGCGUGCGGUCGAUACGGGCAUCACUGGAGUUCGGCAGGGGAGAAUGGAAUUCCUGGUGUAGCGGUGAAAUGCGCAGAUAUCAGGAAGAACACCCGUGGCUAAGGCGGUUCUCUAGUACGGUACUGACGCUGAGACGCGAAAGCGUGGGGAGCGAACAGG
rnacentral:rRNA from 1 species